AGGUGACAUCAUUUGCAUGCAGCUUGGCUAAGCAUCGGAAAUCUUCAAUUUUGGAGUCCAAGGAUCUUUUGCUACAUUUAGAGAAAAACUGGCAUUUGACUGUUCCAGGAUUUUCAAGUGAAGAGCGAAAAUACGAAUCAAAAGCUUUAUCAAGUGAUCUCCAGAGGAAGCAUCUUGAAAUGGUACGUGCAUUGAUGGAAUCUUCACACUCUGAAACAAACACCAACAAUCCCAAAGAGAUGAUUAGACAGGGGAACAACAGUUCUGUCGGUGCCAACCACCUGUUAAGACCUUCACCGAGCUCUGAGCAGUUGGUUACUCAGGCAAGUGGAUCUCAAAUGCUGCAGCAAAUAACGCGUUAUUGAUGGAUGGAUGUACAUACACUACGGUGAUUUGGUAUCUGGUAAUUUGACUGCAGCCAAUUGAAUCUCAGAGGUAAGCAUCAUAAGAUCUCACAGCUGAUGGCUGUUCUUUAAAACAAGAACUCUUUUUUCUGUGUGGAUGUUUUGUGGGUUACCUAUUAAGAUAGGGUUUGGUAGAGAUAAGAGAAUACCAUAUAAAUAGAAGAGGAUAACAUCAGUACCCUACGAACUAAAUAUUAUGUUGUUGUUAUACUGAAAAAGAGUAGAAGUGAUUAACUCCAUUUUCGAUCCAAA